UCCGACUUUGCGCCGGCAGUCUCCUGCGAAAUAUACAACACAGGACAAGGGUUGCGCUCGUUCAUGGACUGAACCAAACACCUCAAGGCACGAGCUGACGACAACCAUGCAGCACCUGUCUUCGGGUUCCUUGCGGCACCCCUCUGUUUCCAAAGGGUUCCCGAGAUGUCAAACCUGGGUAAGGUUCCUCGCUUACCGUCGAAUUAAACCACAUGCUCCACCGCUUGUGUGGGUCCCCGUCUAUUCCUUUGAGUUUUAAUCUUGCGACCGUACUACCCAGGCGGAGGACUUAACGUGUUAACUUAGGCACAAGGGGGGUCGAUUCCCCUUACACCGAGUCCUCAUAGUUUACGGCGUGGACUAC
rnacentral:misc_RNA from 1 species